UUCCUUUUUUUUUUUUUCCCGGGGAGUCGGCCUCGGGGCUCUGCUCUCCUACCUCAGUCUGCCCUACCCUGGAAUGGGGAAAAUGCGGACAUGCCACUCAGUCCGGCCGCGAACAGUGCUCCAGAACUCAGAGAGUUUUCCAGACGGGUGGAGAUCGCGUUCCCUGCCCGCCGAGGUCCCAUCGCUUCCCUGCUGGGAAGACAAAUGAGGCGCUUUAGCCGUCUCCACGGCCAGCCCCUCCCUCAUAACCCGAGAUUCUUUGUGGGCUCUUAGUCCAUAGCUGCCUUUGAGGUGGUGUAGACCUUGCUAACCAGGACGGCCCAGUAGGCAGAGCUCAUUUUUAUUCCUGUCUGCAAUCGUGCAAAAACGCCUCUUAUGGAAAAGCCAGAGCGCCAGGAGUCAGCAAAACACACUAAAGAUUGGGCAGUCACUGGGGAGAACUGCAAUUAACCUUUAAGAUACUACGUGUCAGGCCUCUGAGCCCAAACUAAGCCAUCAUAUCCCCUGUGACCUGCAUGUAUACAUACAGAUGGCCUGAAGCAACUGAAGAUCCACAAAAGAAGUGAAAAUAGCCUUAACUGAUGACAUUCCACCAUUGAGAUUUGUUCCUGCCCCACCCUAACUGAUACGAUAUAUUCUCCCCCGCCCUUAAGAAGACUCAGCCCGCCUGCACCCAGGUGAAAUAUACAGCCUUGUUGCUCACACAAAGCCUGUUUGGUGGUUUCUUCACACGGAUGCAUGUGACAUUUGGUGCUGAAGACCCAGGACAGGAGGACUCCUUUGGGAGACCAGUGCCCUGUUGUCGCCCUCACUCCGUGAGGAGAUCCACCUAUGAUCUCAGGUCCUCAGACCAACCAGCCCAAGGAACAUCUUGCCAAUUUCAAAUCGGGAGUGUCAGGCCUCUGAGUCCAAGCUAAGCCAUCAAAUCCCCUGUGACCUGCACGUGUACAUCCAGAUGACCUGAAGCAACUGAAGAUCCACAAAAGAAGUGAAAGUAGCCUUAACUGAUGACAUUCCACCAUUGUGAUUUGUUCCUGCCCCACGCUAACUGAUACCAUAUAUUCUUCCCCCGCCCUUGAGAAUGUACUUUGUACACCUAUCCCAAACCUAUAAGAACUAAUGAUAAUCCUACCACCCUUUGCUGACUCUCUUUUUGGACUCAGCCCGCCUGCACCCAGGUGAAAUAAACAGCCCUGUUGCUCACACAAA
ensembl:lncRNA OLMALINC oligodendrocyte maturation-associated long intergenic non-coding RNA